ACAUAAAAUUUCAAACCCUUUUAACAUCUCUGUAACUAAUUCUCUCCUAAAACCCACAUAAAAAACGAAAGUACCUCGUUAAAUUUUGUAUUCCAAGUGGUGGGGUGGCAAAAAUCAAGCUUUUCCAGUGAGAAUGCAGCCGCUACCACCGUGCCUAUUGACUGCUUUCGUGCAUCGAUCGUUGCGCGAUCAGAAAAGGGAGAGUGGGAGAAAUAAUUGGAAGGGGUGGUUGGGUUGGUUAUUUUAUUUAACUUCAAAUUUAAUUGGGUUGGGUUAAUUGGGCUUGGGUAACAAUGGAAUGUUUAGUGGGCGAAUGACUAAAUUGUUAAGUGAAAGUUAGUAGGUUAAAUUGUUAAGUAAAGUGGUCAAAGAAUAAUUAUAUAUACUAGGUUAUAUUUUAAUAAAAAUUAAUGUUUACUUUUUUAAAUUUAUAAGAUUUUUUUAAAGGGGGCGGUUGAAAAUUUUCAAAGGGGGCGGUCAAGAUUUUUCACGAAAUUUAACCCUAAAACAUUUUUUUUUCAAGGGGUGCGACCACCCACCCACCCAAGUGGGUAGGUCUUCCCUGUUCUCUUGCUUUUAAUUAGUUUUGUGAAUUCAAAAUUUGAGAAUCACUUAAUGUCAAUCAUUGAUGUUGUAAAUCAACAGCUUAGAUUGUCUCCUACGUUUUGUACGCUAAGAUUUUCUUGUACAAUAACCUUCCCUUUUCAUUGUAUAGGUUUUGAAAAAGUUAAUUAAUCUUUUUAAAAUUCCAACGUUCAUGUGACCCUUACUUAAUUCACAUCCCAACAGACGAAAAAAAGGUCACCCCAGAGUCAGUGUGUUUCUGUGAAUAAACCGAUUUAUGAUUGAAAAAAAAAUACCCAUGACGGGGAACGGUAUUCCCGGUCUACAAACAAAUUGCCAGUUCGGUGAAUGGUUUUCCCGGGUGCUGACUUCAUGAAGCGUCAGUUUUUGCGUUUUACGUGACGUCAUAAACAUUGAGGAGUCUGGAGUCAAAGACGUGCAACUUCAGCUAUAUACAUUGACUCCAUAUUCUCGCGUACCCACUGCACAGUAUUUGAUACUCCACGACUCGGUGGUCGUCUAAGCGACCUGCAUUAUUAUGCAAUGCCUUCAUAUUCAAAAUAAAAUAAUAUUUGAAUAUAAAUUAAUAAUAUAUAUAUGUAUAUAUGGCAUGUUGCCAAGAAAAUAUUUAUUAUACUCUCUCCUUUUUGCUUGAAAUAGAAAGAUGGAGAAGAAGAGAUGUGUGGUUGGUGUGAUCUUCAUUUGGCUCUUGCUAGUCAUCGUAUUUUCAAGCUUUUUUAUAUCAGCGUGUCGAGAUGUAGCUAAGAAGAAAUCACCUCGUCCACAAAAGAAUACGCACAAUGGAUCACCAACAAAUAACAGCAUGAUCGAUUAUCCACCUCCGAAGUCAGCCUGUAACACCAGCAUUAAUUGUGGAAGAAGGUGCAUCAGUUCAAGCUAUGCAUGUAUUAUAAAUUAGUUUAGAUGGGCUUGGUACUUGGUGUUAUUAUCACAUAGUGCAAUUCUCCUUUCUAGUGUCUUUUAAAACUUUAUGUGACAUUUUUUGUUUAACCUAUAAAAACUAAAAGCCCAAAACUUAUAAUACUAUGCGUUCGUUUUCUUGUA